GGGCCCGUCGUCUAGCCUGGACUAGGAUGCGGGGUUCAGGUCCCCGUGAUCCGGGGUUCAAAUCCCCGCGGGCCCACCA
rnacentral:ncRNA from 15 species